rnacentral:rRNA from 1 species
UACGGAGGGGGCAAGCGUUGUCCGGAAUCAUUGGGCGUAAAGCGCGUGUAGGCGGCUUGGUAAGUCUGCUCUGAAAGCCCGGGGCUCAACCCCGGGAGGCGGGUGGAUACUGUCAAGCUCGAGUCCGGAAGAGGAGUGUGGAAUUCCUGGUGUAGCGGUGAAAUGCUUAGAUAUGACAUAGAAUACCCAUUGCGAAGGCAGCUAACUACGCGAUAAUUGACGCUGAUGCACGAAAGCGUGGGGAUCAAACAGG